rnacentral:rRNA from 1 species
UGGGGAAUCUUGGACAAUGGGCGCAAGCCUGAUCCAGCCAUGCCGCGUGAGUGAAGAAGGCCUUCGGGUUGUAAAGCUCUUUUACCAGGGACGAUAAUGACGGUACCUGGAGAAUAAGCCCCGGCAAACUUCGUGCCAGCAGCCGCGGUAAUACGAAGGGGGCUAGCGUUGUUCGGAAUUACUGGGCGUAAAGCGCACGUAGGCGGAUUGUUAAGUCAGAGGUGAAAUCCCGGAGCUCAACUUCGGAACUGCCUUUGAUACUGGCAAUCUCGAGUCCGGACGAGGUUAGUGGAAUUCCCAGUGUAGAGGUGAAAUUCGUAGAUAUUGGGAAGAACACCAGUGGCGAAGGCGGCUAACUGGUCCGGUACUGACGCUGAGGUGCGAAAGCGUGGGGAGCAAACAGGAUUAGAUACCCCCGUAGUCCCUGAGCGGGCUGGCAAGGCGCAU